rnacentral:lncRNA from 1 species
GGUUGACAAAUAGAGGAAAUUUGUGAAGCUGGGCUUCUUGGCAAGUGUUUUGUCCUUGGAAAUUCUGUUCCUCUCAGCCUUCUGGGGGCUCGCUCUGUCACCCAGGUCGGAGUGUAAUGGUGUGAUCACAGCUCACUGCAGCCUCAACCUUCUGGGCUCAAGUGAUCCUUAUGCCUCAGCCUCCUGAGCAACUGGGACUACAGGCAUGUGCCACCAUGCCCAGGAAAACAUUCCUAGAAAAACCUCAAGAGACCAACUUCCUUUGUGCUUCAGGGCAGCAGACAGAGCCUGUGUUCUGUUGGCUACAGCUGUGCUCCAGCCCCCGAGGGCCUGCGGAAGAGACAACGUCUCAGGGGGACCAGACAGAAGUCCAACAUAAAAAGACAAUGCUUCAGAAUGCCCUGCUGGAGUGCAGUGGCGAUCUCGGCUCACUGUAGCCUCUGCCUCCCGGGUUCAAGCGAUUCUCCUGCCUCAGCCCCGUGAGUAGCUGAGACAACAGGCUUGCGCCACCACGCCCGGCCAAUAUUUGUAUUUCUAGUAGAGACGGGGUUUUGCCAUGUUGGCCAGCUGGUCUUGAACUCCUGACAUCAGGUGAUCUGUCCGUCUCAGCCUCCCAAAGUGCUGGGAUUACGCGUGAGCCACUGUGCCCAGCCACCACUUUACUUUCUUAAUAAACUUGCUU